rnacentral:rRNA from 1 species
UACGUAGGGUGCGAGCGUUGUCCGGAAUUACUGGGCGUAAAGAGCUCGUAGGUGGUUUGUCGCGUUGUUCGUGAAAACCGGGGGCUUAACCCUCGGCGUGCGGGCGAUACGGGCAGACUUGAGUACUGCAGGGGAGACUGGAAUUCCUGGUGUAGCGGUGGAAUGCGCAGAUAUCAGGAGGAACACCGGUGGCGAAGGCGGGUCUCUGGGCCAUAACUGACGCUGAGGAGCGAAAGCGUGGGGAGCGAACAGG